UAGGACUCGGAGGACAUUAACGAGUUUUGAAGGGGUUGUAGCUGGCCUUCCGAGGCAUGUGCACGCCCUGCUCAUUCCACUCUACACCUGUGCACUUACUGUGGGUCUCAGGCGAGCGUCGGUCGCUUCGCGGCGUCCGUCGUUCAACUGGGCUCACGUUUUACUACAAACUAUUAAAGUAUCAAAAUGUCUACUGCAAAUUAACGCAUUUAAAUACAACUUUCAGCAACGGAUCUCUUGGCUCUCGCAUCGAUGAAAAACGCAGCGAAAUGCAAUAAGUAAUGUGAAUUGCAAAAUUCAGUGAAUCAUCAAAUCUUUGAACGCACCUUGCGCUCCUUGGUAUUCCAAGGAGCAUGCCUGUUUGAGUGUCAUGAAAUUCUCAACCUAACGAGUCUUUGCGGGCUCGGUAGGCUUGGACUUGGAGGUUCUUGUCGGCCUAACGGUCGGCUCCUCUUAAAUGCAUUACCUCGGUUCCUUGCGGAUCGGCUCACGGUGUGAUAAUUGUCUACGCCGCGACCGUUGAAGCGUUUUGGCCGGCUUCUAAUCGUCUCGUUGGAAACACUACUCUUUAUGACCUUCUGACCUCAAAUCAGGUAGGACUACCCGCUGAACUUAAGCAUAUCUAAAGCCGGAAGAA
rnacentral:rRNA from 1 species